rnacentral:rRNA from 1 species
CAAGGUUUCCGUAGGUGACCUGCGGAAGGAUCAUUG